AAUUUUAAAGCCGAACUUCUAUUACUAUAAAUCUGACUAAAAAUUGGGAAAAAGAAAAACACAUAUUUUGCUCUGGCUGCCUUUGGUUUAUUUACAGUAUGAGCAUUGCUAGAUGUAAGGCAUGCCUUCCCCUUUGCUAUCAGCCCUCUCCCUUCCUUCUUGGAUUGCCUCCUUCAAGAGGAGGUUCUUGAUUGAGUGCAGUUUGUUGACUCCAUCUCCCAUCUCCAUUCGGUCCCCUGGAGAUUCAAUGGAACAUGUGACGCCAAUUCUCAAUACUGAGACCAUGUACUCCUCCAUUUUGCGGUCUCUUUUUCAUCUCCUAAAACCAAAUGCGGAUCCAUGACUUCCCUUACUCGCUCAGGUAAAGAUGACUUCACAAAAUCAUGAAGAGUAAGGCCAUCUUAGAAGAUGUCAUCCGUUGGCCUUCUUCCUGUAAACAUCUCCAGCAAUAGAAUUCCAUAACUGUACACAUCUCCCUCUGCAGAAACAUUACCAGUAACACCAUAUUCUGCAAAAUAGUUAGAGCAAGAUUUAAUAAUUCUUCUUUGCAGGUUGUUUUUUUAAAGUUAAAAAGGUUCAAUGAAACUUUUUGUUUCAGUGAAUACUGGUGAUUCAGGAAGGCAACAUGAGAGGAUUUGGAGGUUUGAACUAUUAAUGAAUCUAUAGGCAGUUAAGGCAUUGUUGAAUGGGUUCCUUGCUCCUUCAACACCAUGAGAAGAUUUGGAGGUUUGAACUACUCUAAUUUAAAAUAGUUUUUGCUUUCAUAUGUAUUCUGACUAAAAAUUUCCAACAGCUCUUUUAGCAUUGAUUUCUAAGCAAUUUUCUACAAGUAUUUAAAUAGUGGGACUAGUUCAUCAAAAGACCUAAAUACUUUUGAAAUUGGAAAAAUGACCUCUCUUAAUCAUUCUUUAAAAAAAUGUUCUUUGUUUUGUCAAAAAUGUCAUUUCCCUCCCAUUUUUUACCUAACUCUCUCUAUAAGAUUAUGCUCUCUCAAAGGAUAAAGAUCAGUUUUGUUUUUUUUUGUAAUUUCAUUUAAACUUCUAUUCUACUUGACUUCUGGGUGUGUAAUUGGGUUUGCUCUUGGACAAUGGUAUACACUAGAUAUAAUUCAACCAAGGGAACAAUGUGCAAGACCCGCUUAUGUCUAUGGCAUUAAUUUUCUAAGAAAUUUGCUACAAUUAUUUAGAUAAAGAGACUUGUUCAUCAAUUAUGUUUCAUCUAGAAUAUGUUUGAAAUAUUAUGAUAAAGAAUGAGAUUGGAAAACUCAUUUACUUUCCCAUUUAUUAAUGUGUUUGGAAUACUAAUCUGAAAUUAGAAUAGGAAUAAAAAAAAAUCAUUUUAAUGGGAACUAAUUUACAAUUUUUAUAAGAAUUUUGAUUACUUUGUUUCAUAUGCUAUUGUAAUUCACCUAAAUUUUCAUUCUUAUUCUUGUGUAUCAAAUACACCUUAAAAUAAAAAAAAUUAAAAAAAAGAAAAAAAAAACCUUUUCUUAUUGGGAUGAAAAGAAAAGAAUAAACAAGAAAAUAGUAAGCAAAUUCAUACAAGUCUUCACGGAUGAAGAAAUUAAGAGCCAUACCUAUCGUUUUAAGUAGUAAACCUCAUAAAAUAAAGGAAGACCAUGGCAUGGUUCAAUAAUGCAAGAGAUUGUUACAAAUGCAUGUUCAUCUCCAUGAUCUACAAAAUAUCAAAGAACAGAUUUUUAUUUUUAUUUUUUCUCUCUUGAGCAACACAAAAACAGAAACAUUUAUCCUAUAAGAAUGCUCUUAGGCUUUGUGAGGAUCAUGGAAAAUAGGGAGAAAAGACUAGGAAAGAAGGGAUUGGACAAAGAAGCUAAAACUCAAUAAAGAACUCUCAUUUGAAGGCUUUGAAAGGUCUCCUUUGGAUUAAAAGCAUUUGAUAAAGCCAGGUUUUGAUCCUCUUCUUUUUUGGUGUUAUGAUAUCUGCAGAAGUUUGUGGGUGAGCCUGUAAGUAAAGAUUUUUUUCCAAUAUUUCAUACCUAAACAUGCACUUAAAGAAAAUUGGAUAACUGAAUCUGUGUGGCUCGGGUUUUGUUCUUGAUUACACACAGAAACCAAGCUAAAGUAGAGUUAUAUAACUAGUUUUUAAAUGUGACAUCCUAAAACUCCUAUAAGAAAAUGGUGAAUUCUGCCUCGGCAUGCAUCUUGAAGGUAUUUUAGGUUGCCUUGAGGAUCAGCAUUAAUUGACAAGAUUUUCUAGAUAAAUUAACUGCUGUAUUUAUCAAAGGGUAGAUUAGAUAUGAGGAUUCAUUUACUGUUUCUCAUUGCAGGACAAAAAAUCAUCACCGCUUGGCAGUUGCUGCGAGCGUGGUUCAAGGAGCAUACAAUUUAGAAUAUGACCGCCAGGAAUCCCAACAUCCCCGAGUUCAGUCUUCCCAUUGGUGGCACUUCUUGUUAAAGUUAUCAACAUCAGCAUGUGACUGAGAGGAUGUAUUGAACAAGUCAAGUUUGUUUUUGUGUCAAAAAUAUGCCUCUGUUUAGUUUUUCAAUAUAUUAGGAAUUGUCCGAGUCUUAGGGAGGUUGUUGCAGCACGUUUAGAGUAACUGGUUAUCUUUCUAUUCCUAUUUUUUAGUAUUUCUAUUUCUGUUGAUGGUUUUGCCUAUAAAAGGCUUGUAUCAGGUGAAGUUUAAAUCAUCACCAUAUUAAUAAAAUUAUUUUCUUUCCUCCUCUGUGUGUCUCUUUUAUAAAGUGGGUUCAACAUUUGGUAUCAGAGCCAGGUUGAAGAGGCAUUUCAGAGAGUGUUUGAGAGUCAAACACGUGAGGAAAAGAGAGAGUGAAAUGGGUGAUCUUCAAGUCAUUGGCGGAAUAAAAAAGCUCAAC
rnacentral:lncRNA from 1 species